rnacentral:rRNA from 1 species
UACGAAGGGGGCUAGCGUUGCUCGGAAUCACUGGGCGUAAAGCGCACGUAGGCGGAUUGUUAAGUCAGGGGUGAAAUCCUGGAGCUCAACUCCAGAACUGCCUUUGAUACUGGCGAUCUUGAGUCCGGGAGAGGUGAGUGGAACUCCGAGUGUAGAGGUGAAAUUCGUAGAUAUUCGCAAGAACACCAGUGGCGAAGGCGGCUCACUGGCCCGGUACUGACGCUGAGGUGCGGAAAGC